UGUGAACAUAACCCGUCUCUCGUCUUUAUCUAUGACAUAACCUCAAAUUUGCUCAAAGUCUGGAGUUGUCAUCGGUAGAAAAAUUCAGCAGUUAAAAGUAAACAUGGGGAAGAACAAGAAGAAGUUGAACAGCGUCUUCAAAGUGGCGGGAGCCAAGAGUUUAAAAAUGAAGGCCAAGGCCAAGCCAGUAAAGAGUGAAUUGAAGAAUAUAAAAUUGAAGACCAAAGAAAAAGUGCUGGAAAUCGACAAGGCGCUGGACGGAUUACGGGGAACAUUCAUCACAACAUCCACAGAAAUAAAGCAGACAAAUAAGCCAAAGACCACGCCAUUACCGAGUGUGAAAGUUGAUGAAAAUGUUGAAAAUAACAGAAUAGAGGCGACAGAAAAAUUGGAAACCAUGCAACUGUAAUACACAGUGGUUGCGCAAAAUAUACAUUUUUAUAUGGUUGA
rnacentral:misc_RNA from 1 species